rnacentral:rRNA from 1 species
AUUGAACGCUGGCGGCAUGCCUUACACAUGCAAGUCGAACGGUAACGUGUCCUUCGGGAUGCCGACGAGUGGCGAACGGGUGAGUAAUAUAUCGGAACGUGCCCAGUAGUGGGGGAUAACUGCUCGAAAGAGCAGCUAAUACCGCAUACGACCUGAGGGUGAAAGGGGGGGAUCGCAAGACCUCUCGCUAUUGGAGCGGCCGAUAUCAGAUUAGCUAGUUGGUGGGGUAAAGGCCUACCAAGGCAACGAUCUGUAGUUGGUCUGAGAGGACGACCAGCCACAGUGGGACUGAGACACGGCCCAGACUCCUACGGGAGGCAGCAGUGGGGAAUUUUGGACAAUGGGCGCAAGCCUGAUCCAGCAAUGCCGCGUGCAGGAAGAAGGCCUUCGGGUUGUAAACUGCUUUUGUCAGGGAAGAAAUCUUCUGGGCUAGUACCCCGGGAGGAUGACGGUACCUGAAGAAUAAGCACCGGCUAACUACGUGCCAGCAGCCGCAGUAA